ensembl:lncRNA
CUGAAUUGAUGCUGAUUCCAUCCUAGUGUUGAGCUGCAGGAUUGAAAGAGACAGUAUACAACAGGAAAUGGUCUGGGAAAGACUUCAACCCGGGCCCCUACACAGAUGGGCUUUAGCCUGCAGUGCACAGACUGCUGACUCAACCAGUUUGGGCAGACUGAAGAUACAUAACAGAGCUGGAGGUUGUUUUUUGGAAACAGAUACCAGCUCAAAGAAGAGGAUGCAGCAGGAGAGAAGAUGAUCUGCAGGAUCCUGCUGCUCAUCAUCCUCACCUCAUGUAUCUCUGGAUCAUUUGUAGUCAAUGUGACACAGACCUCCUAUCAGGCAGAGGAGAACCACAACAUCACACUGGAGUGGACGUUCACCACCAAACCUGACAGAUCAACCAAAACUCUUUCCAUCAUUUGUUGCCUUAUAGCUUGCCAUGAACACUUUGUCCUCUAUCGUGUCAUUCAUGGUGUUGAGUUGUCAAAGUCUCGGGAUAAAAAGUUUUCAGGACGAGUCCAGAGUGACAAAGACGCCCUCAGAGAAGGACGAAUCAGACUUCAACUGUCCAGACUCAGGACUGAUGACUCGGGUCUGUACCUGUGUGAGGUCAACACUGAUUAUGGCUUCAGUUCUGCCAGAUGCAGAGUCAGUGUUUCUGGUGCUGAAAGUCGAAAUAAGAACUACUGGGAUCAAGUUAAAAUUGUUCUGGGAGUUUUAGAGAGUGCACUUUUAAUAGUUAGUGGCAUGAUAGUUUUGAUCAUUGUUGCUGUUCAGGGUCUUGUGCAGUCUUUUAGAAAACAUAAGAUAGGAGGUCCUCUUUUAAAAUGAACUACUUCAUCUGCUAUGUUUUAUGUUGCUGCUUUCAAUCUGAAUGUUUUCUGACAAAAAAAAACCAUACAAUUAAAGCCAACUAAAGAUGUUCUCUAUAAGGAAGUAUCGUAGAUUCUCUUCUUCAUGUUAGAUUAAAACCAAAAAUAUCUUUGUUUAAAUACAAGCUUUUGUAUAUUCAAAAAUUCACUGCACUUCUUUCACUAACGUUCAUUAUUGACUCCACGAUUUGUUCCAACUUCCAACUCAGCUUUCAGCAUUAGCUUCUCAGUGAGCACGCACAUUAUUAUUUAACUAAAAUAAAGAUGACUUGUUUACUGUGUCAAUGCCAAAUUCAUUCUCUGCCAAUUUAUUUCCAUGUUCUUCUGCAACUGUCAAAGUUUUCAGUUUAGAGCUCAUAAUGUAGCAGGAGUUUUUAACCACUUAAUUGCUUCAUUCUUCAAAGCUUGGUCUUUCUGCUUAUUUAACAUAUUUAGCCAUGUUAUUUAUAUAAGAGUUUACUUUUCUCUCAGACAGCUGAUGGACCAGAAGCGUUAUGGAAAUAACAAACAAUUUUCUAAAUAAAAAAUAAAAAUAUAUAAAGAAAGAGAAAGGAAAAAUACACAAAAAUAUUAUGCAUCAAUAAAUUUACUUUUUUUUAGGACAUUUCUGGUAUCUAAUGUUUCUAUUUAACACUGACCUAUGGAUCAUUCAAACAUUAAACAGUCACCUAACUCAGGGGAUGAACCACUGCUAUGUCUAUGGAUAACAGACCGCUUACAAAAGAACUAAUUUUAAAUUAUUAAGGCAAUUUAUAUAUGGCAGUCUGUUACAAGACAAAACACACCUGUCCCCAUUAAGUUGAAUCUACAAAAAAAUCCAAAGAUGGCAGAGUUUGACAAACAUAAAAUAGAAUUUUUUUUGCAGGAACAAGGCGAUUCUCAAAGAGCUAUUGGCUGAAACAAAAGAAACAAAAGAAGAGGCAGGCCAAUAGUUCACAGCCAAACCAGACAGAUCCUGGAUCUACAUCUUCAUACUCUGUGGCCUGAAAACUGGUCCUAAAGACUAAGUCUUGUUUCAUGUUUUGAAGAUGUUGAUGUGUCAGAGUCUCAGGAUGAAAACUUUUUCAGGACGAGUCCAGAGUGACAAAGACGCCCUCAGAGAAGGACGAAUCAGACUUCAACUGUCCAGACUCAGGACUGAUGACUCGGGUCUAUAUAUUCAAAGUGAACACAGACCAUGACUGAUUUGAUAGCUGCAGGCUCCAUGUUCCUGGCAAGGUCUUUUCUUUCCUAAUAUGUGUACUAUAUAUAAAUCUAUUGUGUAUUGAAACAAACAUUAUUAGGUGAAAUUCAGAUAUUCUACAGCUUAAUUUUCAGUGUAAACCAAUUCCAUAAACAUUUAUGAUACACAUGUUGAUGUCCUUCACCAAACAGUGGCCUCUGAUCAGCUAGAGGCAGAACCUCAAGGGAGAACCAUUUCUUUAUGUUAGACUGCAGCUAGUAGCAGCCCUUAUGGCUUUCUGUGUUUUUUGUAUUAUAUGGAGAAAACAGUAAAUGAAACACAAACAGUCUGACUUCAUUUUACAAAAUAAGUCAUUAAACCUUUACUUCAGGAGAUUUUGGAACAGGCAUUUUUGUACAUUAGACUGAGAGCUACAGGAGCUCUACCAGCUGUGUUUAACUCCAACUUUAACACAGAUAUAAGUGAAGCUGUAGAGAUGUUUGUUGUGUGCACUUACAUAAUAUGUACAUAAUAUUAAGUAUAAUGUCCUUUGCUACACACAACUCCAUGACAGUUUACAACACGUCAGAUCAUCUUCAUUGUUAACAUAAUUAAUCUGAAUCCUUUCAACAUUACAACAGUAAACACAUUAAACACUGAAUUUAUAUCUGCUGCACGUGGUGCGUGAGGUAGAGGUGUUUCCCUGUGUGAUUACAGUAAAGUGAACACAGUGCACAUUUCAUCAUCUGUCUGAUGAGUGACAAUUUGAUAAUGUGUCUUAAACAAAUAAACAAACAAAAAAACGAAGAUAAAAAAAAUCAAUUUGAUGUCCAUUAUUGUGUAUCAUGACACUUAUUCUCUGGCCAGCAUGUGUCCUAAUGCACUGUCUGUUAAAUAACAAUUAAAAUGCAGUUUUUAUCAGCUUUGAACCCCCAUGAGUACAUCCAUCAGGAUGUUAAACAGAUUUCAUUUAAAUAUUGGAGUUUUUAGCUUAUAUGAGUCUUACCUUUAUGGUGUUCAACUCUGGGAAAAGGGACGUCUCACCAUUGACAGUUUAAUAUCACCUGUGCAAAAUACAACUUUGAAGGUUUGUAUACUGAAAUACAUCAGAGCUUGUAUUUCAUGACAAUGACAUUUUAAAUGUCAUUUAAAAAAAGAUUGACUCUGAAUUUUUAGAUUUCUAGCCUUACAUGUAUCGCUUGCAAAGAGCACUUAAAGUAAAACAUGUCUUAUUAAACACUCAUUCACAU